GGCGGAACGACGCAAGCGGGAAGAAAGCGCCAUUGUGUGAAGUUAUUUUAAGAUGUGACAGAGUGAACAGCAGUCCUCCGUGGCCCUCCUGUCAUCCUUGGAGAUGAGAACGCACACUUCUUCAAGACGGGCUUUGACUCCGGUGACCUUCUGGACACGUCCCACACCUUCAUGGGGAUCCUGACAGUGAUUGCUGAAGACACUGUGGCCUCUCCUCAUGGGUGGCCAUGACAAUCUUCUGCAUGCCAUGUGCCUCCUCUUUGGACUUAUUUACAAUAUGGAUUGUGGAGGUCCAUUCAUACAUUCUGUCAUAUUCAUUUAAUGUGUUUAUGUAACUCUGAGAUGCUGUUCAUCUGUACACAUGACAUCUAUUG